GAGUGUAUAGCUCAAGUGGUAGAGUGCAUGCUUAGCAUGUACAAGUUCCUGGGUUCAAUCCCCAGUACCUCCU
rfam:Camelus ferus unplaced genomic scaffold scaffold916, whole genome shotgun sequence.